ensembl:lncRNA
AUGCUUUUGUUCUUCCACAGGGGCACUGCUCAGAGGUACUUUUCAGAUACAACAGCUCAUUUUGGAACGUCUCCCUGGCAGCGAAAACAUUGGACAGUUGCUAUGGACUCCUCAGCAUCCAGCCAUUCCUAUCUGGAAUCAAUUUCAAGAUACAGAAGCAGGUCCAACAUUCUACACUGGAAGCUGAAGCCUGGGCAGCUGUUCUGUCUUGACGAUCAUGUGGCAGCUGGGAAGGUGGACAUGAGACCUAGACUCAGCCAAUCUGAUGGUACAUUAUGGACUUUGAAUCCUGAAGAGUAACACAAAUAAUAGGGGUGUCUUCUUGUGGUGAGUGUGAUGGAUCUAGGGUCCUACAAUGUGGCAGCGAGUGUGGGGAGGGGCACAGCCCAGCAGCAGUGGUUGAGUGUCCAGUGACCCAAACAAGCUCUUUCUGUGGUAUGAUUUUUAGUAAGUCUUGUCUCUGUAUAGUUGCCUUGUUGCCAAACCUCCCUAUCAAUUAUAAAAUUUUUGGAUCUCCUUAUAAGAAAUUGCUUCUCUGUUUAAAUAAGCAGAGUUAAUAUAGGUGGUUGCAACUAAGAACCCUGGCAGGUGCAGAGAAAAUAAGCCCAGGGUAAAAUCCACCUCUCCGCUCAUCUUCCUCUUUCAGGGACCUGAUGUCUGCACACAGCAGCCUGGCAUCCUAGCCAUUCAGACCGGUAAUUGAUUCACGCUUACUUCUUUGAAACAUGUCUUAAGAGGUACACGGGCAACCUUGAUCACUAUGUAAAGUUGUUGGGGAUUUUGGAGGGUCUGCAAACCAGAGAGUCUGAAAUAACUAGGAAUAUUGCAGAAGAGAUUUCUGUCUGUGAGGCUACAGCCCACAAGUUCUCCCGUACAGUCCUUUGUCUCUCAGUUUCCAUUUCUCAAGGUUGUCAGUCUGCUAGAUGCUACAGAGAAAAUGACACCCCAGGCCAGGCACGGUGGCUCACGCCAGUAAUCCCAGCACUUUGGGAGGCCAAGGCGGGCGGAUCACCUGAGGUACGGAGUUCGAGACCAGCCUGAUCAACAUGGAGAAAUCCCGUCUCUACUAAAAAUUCAAAAAGUUAGCCAGGUGUGGUGGUAUGCGCCUGUAGUGCCGGCUACUCGGGAGGCAGAGGCAAGAGAAUCGCUUGAACCCAGGAGGCGGAGGUUGCAGUGAGCCAAAAUCACACCAUUGCACUCCAGCCUGGGCAACAAGAGCAAAACCCCGUCAAAGGAAGGAAGGGAAGGAAGGAAGGAAGGAAGGAAGGGAGAUGUCGCAAAAAAAUGCACCCUAAGAGACCAAUAGAUAUCAGCUUCCCUGUGACCCAUCUAGGGUGGUAUAUUUACAUUUUGAAUAAGAGAGCAAUCUGAUGAUGAUAGAAUGAUGUCAGUCCAAGGCUGGAAAUUCUGUCCAUGCGGCGAGUGAGCAUGGAGGCUUUCUUUAUGUCUUUUGGACCUAUCCAUCCAUAUCCGUUUCUAGGAUCUAGGUUCCCCUUGAGUCUGUUUCUGUGGAUAGUUUAAACAUUAUGAUAAAUUUUUCUAGCAGGUAUCUGGAAAACUGAAAGGUAAUUACUUCCUGAUGGCUAAACAAAAGAAUUCAAGUGCUGUUUAUCUCAGUGCUCUUCUCUUUUUUCUUGCCAAAAAUUCAAACAACCCACCGUUAGGUACUGUUACCAGAAAAAGCAUUUGUUACUCUCAAGAGUUUUGUUUGUCCCCUGAUGAGAAAAAGGACUAUAUUGCUUUAAACUGUUGCUCUUUUUUUGUGGAGGUUGUAUUGUAACUGGCAAAAAGGUCCAGCUGCCCACUGCUUGCAGAGAGAAAUCAAAUAUAGUAAUGAGUUGUAAUAACAGGGAGAAAGAUUUUAUUAUUCAUGCUAGCAGGGGAAGAGCAGAAAAAAGUUCCACUCUCCAAUUCUUGGAGGGAAUAUGAGUUUUUAAAGAAAGGGUUUGGAACAUAGACGAAGAAAGGGGGGCAGGAGGUGCCAGGUGGCGUGACUUGCUCUGCUGUCCUCUUAUUGUCCCAAUUGGUGAAGGUACUGGCACCAUCGUGGGGAUCCUGCCAGGUUAUAAAUUAGUCACUCUUCAGUCAGGUGUGGGUUCCAUCCUCAAAGUGAUCUUUGUUGAAGAAAGAAUUCCAGAGGUGUCUAAUCCCUAUCAGAAUCUGACUGCUGAGCUUGUAAGGAAACAUAUGACCAGAUAAGAGAGCGCGGGUGGGCGAAGUGGCUCACGCCUGGAAUCCCAGCACUUUUGGAGGCCAAGGCAGGUGGAUCACUUAAGGUCAGGAGUUCGAGACCAGCAUGGUUAACGUGGUGAAACCACGUCUCUACUAAAAAUAUAAAAUAUGAUCCGGGUGUGGUGUUGCGCGCCUGUAGUCCCGGCUACUCAGGAGACUGAGGCAGAAGAAUCGCUUGAACCCAGGUGGUGGAGGUUGCAGUGAGCUGAGAUCAUGACACUGCACUCCAGCCUGGGCGACAGAGCGAGACUCCAUCUCAAAAAAAAAAAAGAGACAGAGAGGACAUGGUAUGUGCUUAACAAGCACAUAGGUGAAUAAAUGUGCGUAAGGCACAGGAGUAUAGCAUGGGAAAGGAAAGGGAGUGGAAGUUCACAGCCCAUUCUGAGGCUGUACUUUAAGAUGAGCGGUAACAUACACGCAGAUUUCCUCAAAGUUUUAUCUUGAGACCGAGAGGAGGAGGAGGAAGAGGAAAAAGCAAAGAAGAAAAAAUAGUUUAAAAUGCAGUUUGAGGCUUAGCUGUUAAGCUGCUGGUUACAGUAUUGAAGAACCUUUACAUGUGGUCUCUCAUCGUUAUCUGGUUCUCCAAACGACUCCUGGGUAAAUGGCACUUACAGAGUGGCCAGAGACACCACAUAAGCAUAUUCCCCCUAGUGUUACAUGAGAGUAUUUUGUCUAAUUGUUGAGUUUAGUUCUGGUAACAACUAAGCAAGGGUCAUAGUCAGAAAAUUGUCAGAGGCGUUUGAACCAGAGCAACUCCAUCUUGAAUAGGAUCUGCAUAAAAUAAGGCUGAGACCUGCUGGGCUGCAUUCCCAGAUGGUUAAGGCAUUCUAAGUCACAGGAUGAGAUAGGAGGUCGGUACAAGAUACAGGCCAUAAAGACCUUGCUGAUAAAACAGGCUGUGGUAAAGAAGCUGGCCAAAACCCACCAAAACCAAGAUGGCAAAGAAAGUGACCUCUGGUGGUCCUCACUGCUCAUCUUACACUAAUUAUAAUGCAUUAGCAUGCUAGAAGAUGCUCCCAUCAGCAUGAGGACAGUUUACAGAUGCCAUGGCAAAGCCAGGAAGUUAUCCUAUAUGGUCUAAAAAGGGGAGGAACCAGCCAGCAGGGUGGCUCACGCCUGUAAUCCCAGCAUUUUGGGAGGCCGAGGCGGGCGGAUCUCGAGGUCAGGAGAUUGAGACCAUCUUGGCUAACACGGUGAAACCCCGUUUCUACUAAAAGUACAACAAAUUAGCCAGGCAUGGUGGCGGGCACCUGUAGUCCCAGCUACUUGGGAGGCUGAGGCAGGAGAAUGGCAUGCCAAGAGGCGGAAGUUGCAGUGAGCCAAGAUCACUCCAGCCUCAGCAACAGAGCGAGUCUCCACCUCAAAAAAAAAAAAAAAAGGAGGAACCCUCAGUUCUGGGAAUUGCCCAUCCCUUUCCCAGAAAACUCAUGAAUAAUCCACCCCCUGUUUAGCAUAUAAUCAAUAAGUAACUAUAAGUGUCCUUAGUCCAGCAGCCUAAGCUGCUGCCCUGCCUAUGGAGUAGCCGUUCUUCUAUUCCCUUGACUUUCUUAAUAAACUUGCUUUCAGUUUACUCUGUGGACUCGCCCGAAUUCUUUCUUGCACAAGAUCUAAGAACCCUCUUUGGGGGUCUGGAUUGGGACCCCUUUCUGAUACCUUUCUGAUAACGAAAUUAGAACUGCUAAUAAGGAUCUGAUCCUCUCGCCUGGCAAUUUAGUUUUAACUUCUCUCCCUCUCCAAGAGGUUAUCAGAAGAAAAGAUAAUUAGAUAACUAAGAUGAAAUAUUUCUGAUGUCUGUAGCACUGGAGUAUUGUCUGCUUUGUCUAAGAUGGUUUAAAAUUGUUCUUAGAAGAAAUACAAAAUUAGGAAAUUAGAGUUAAAAGAGACUUUAGUUAAGGGUCCGAUAAUCUCACUCCCUAAUUUAACGUUUCUAAAAACCAAGAACCCAAAUGAAGGAGUAACAUGAUGUGAAUAACGUUGAAUACUCUUAGUCCAGUGCUCUCCCCACUGUAUCAAGCAGCCGGAACCGUUGCGUUGUUUACAUAUGUUUACUUAGAUGUUUACACAAAUACCUAUGUAUGUGUAAACGGAUAAAUACAAAUAUUCAAAGGGGAAACAUAAGCAAGACAACUUUCACAAGAAAAUGUGGCAUCUUCAGGACCCAUCAACCCAGCACUAAAAUACUUUGUAAACGUAUUAUCAUCUGGAAACCAUCAAGAUGACUUCAUAAGGCAUAAUUCAAACAUCUGUAAAAACCAUGAUUUCCAAGGUCAUAUAACACUUGGGUUAAAAAAGAUGGAUGGUUGCUGGGAAACAGAAUAACUGGUCCAACAAGUUUGUUGGAAUAAGCUGUUCUGUAAAUGGAAAUUAUUUCCUCUGAUUUUCA